rnacentral:tRNA from 1 species
UCCCUAGUGGCUCAGAUGGUAAAGAAUCUGCUUGCAAUGCAGAAAACCCAGGUUCAAUCCCUGAGUCAGGAA